rnacentral:lncRNA from 1 species
AAACAACUAAACUAAGGACCGGACGGUCCUGCAUAAUUCUCAGGCACGNCUUCCACAGCAUCCUCCAGAGUGCCUUCCAAAGCAACUUCUAAGGUGUCCUCCAAAGUACCCUCUACUCACACCCAAAAGGAUGAUCAUUGNAGCGAAGAGAAUAACCGGACGGCAACAUGGAUAAAGACAGAACAGAUAAGGGUAAGCUUAUGUAAAUUUAAUUUAUCAUUUCGUCAUACAAGUAAACAUACAGACUCAAACCAAUCAAUCAUGCAAGCGUACAAUUUCAAUACAAUCAUACUAUAUUCCUUAAAUCAUGACUGACCACUAAGACACUGUCCGGACGGUAUGAAUGUGUAGCUCGGUCGUCCCUAGCACCCGGUGUGGUGUAGUAACUGUAUUUCCUUAUCAGCUGCCACCCGAGGUUAGUCCUCAAACGGUUAUCUAUUCAUAUAACCGCGGACCUCCUGCCAUUCCCACACAUGAGUGACCUUCCUCUACCUGAGGAAACGACCUCACGGAAUAUCAGGAUCAGGACGACACCUGAGUCAUUCCCACGUUCAUACUUUACCAAUCAUCACAAAUUCAUGAGUUAUUCCGCCAGUGGAAUUCUCUUACUUAGUCAAAUUCAACAAUUGUUCAUUAUUACUUCCCAGUAGUUAGGGUGUUGAGAAAAGUAUCAAAUAUCCAAGAUUGAAUCAUACAUAAUAGUGACCGAACGGUUUAGUCGGAAUGGGGAAACUGAGUAUCAAGGAUUCAAGUAAGUGGCCGGACGGUCACAUCCAAGGUGAGAUUAAAUAACAGAAGAAUGUCAAAUGGUUGAUAGGAUAAUUUGGCAAAGAAUGAAAUCUUAACUCAAGGGUUGACUAUAAGUGAUAGUCAUCCGAANGGUUUGGCAAGAGUAUUAUUAUAAAAUAGACACUAAUAAUGGUCGAAGGCUGGUCUAUGACCGAACACUUAUCGGACCGAACGAAUUGAGAAAGAAGAAAC